AGCUUUGCCCAGUGGCAGUAUCGUAGCCAAUGAGAUUUAUCCAAGGCGCAAUUAUUGCUAAUUGAAAAAUUUUCUCAUUAUUAUACAUAUGGUGAGGAUUUCCAAAUCUCUGUAUCCAAGUCCUCUUAUUUGAGGAACAGUUUUCUGU